AGCAAGGGAAGACCAUCGCUUCGCUCCUUUGGGUCGCCGCUGCUCCAACCCUACUUGACGCCAUGGAAGGAGGCUCAACAUCCAUUGGAAAAAAAUGCAUGCAAGAUAUUGUGUGUGCAUGUGCGGGAAACCAUGGUUGAUGAUUCCUUGCCUUUCCAGUGCUUGGGUGCACCUAGCAGCUGCUUCAUGCCUCCUGAGAAUGCCGGUAUCUCUUACUUAGGUUGGUGCUGUACGGCUUGGUUGAGCUCAAAAUUCAACGGAGACGACGAUUGUCAGUUUCAGGCGUCGUUUGUUCAAUUUUACCGAAUUCCUGAACACCAUAUAUUUGUACGGCAACAGCUGGUGAAGCAG